UCCUUGCCGCCCACUUCCGCUAGGUUCCAGAGUCAUAACAGUCUUCGGUUGUUUCUGUUAUCCGAGGUUAAAUUGACAUUAAUUCGCAGCAGGCGGGUGUUCAGCUGUGAUGCUAGGAGAGAAGGCUGGUCGAUGUUGCUGGAAACACCAUGACUGCUGCUGAGUAACAUCUAGUUACUUCUUCUGCUCAGGAUGAACAGCGAGGAGGAGUUUUACGACGCAGAGACAGGACUUGAGUCUGAUGAUUCCUGUGAGGUCAGCUUCAAGGAUGCCCUGGUGUUUGACAACAAACAGGAGACUGAUGGCUGCACUCAGGAGAAUGGCGUGUGGGAG